rnacentral:rRNA from 1 species
CAUGCAAGUCGAACGGAGUUACUUUGGUGAAGUUUUCGGAUGGAUCUGAUUUAACUUAGUGGCGGACGGGUGAGUAAUGCGUGAGCAACCUGCCCUUCAGAGGGGGACAACAGUUGGAAACGACUGCUAAUACCGCAUAAUGUAUUCGGAAGGCAUCUUCUGGAUACCAAAGGAGAAAUCCGCUGAUGGAUGGGCUCACGUCUGAUUAGCUAGUUGGUGAGGUAACGGCUCACCAAGGCUGCGAUCAGUAGCCGGACUGAGAGGUUGAACGGCCACAUUGGGACUGAGAUACGGCCCAGACUCCUACGGGAGGCAGCAGUGGGGAAUAUUGGGCAAUGGGCGAAAGCCUGACCCAGCAACGCCGCGUGAAGGAAGAAGGCCUUCGGGUUGUAAACUUCUUUUAAGAGGGACGAAGAAGUGACGGUACCUCUUGAAUAAGCCACGGCUAACUACGUGCCAGCAGCCGCGGUAAUACGUAGGUGGCGAGCGUUAUCCGGAUUUACUGGGUGUAAAGGGCGCGUAGGCGGGAAUGCAAGUCAGAUGUGAAAUCCAAGGGCUCAACCCUUGAACUGCAUUUGAAACUGUAUUUCUUGAGUGUCGGAGAGGUUGACGGAAUUCCUAGUGUAGCGGUGAAAUGCGUAGAUAUUAGGAGGAACACCAGUGGCGAAGGCGGUCAACUGGACGAUAACUGACGCUGAGGCGCGAAAGCGUGGGGAGCAAACAGGAUUAGAUACCCUGGUAGUCCACACCGUAAACGAUGAUUACUAGGUGUUGGAGGAUUGACCCCUUCAGUGCCGCAGUUAACACAAUAAGUAAUCCACCUGGGGAGUACGACCG